AUUAUAGUGUCCCUGAAUAAGAUUGGAUGCAAAAUUUGAUGGUUGGAUUUACUAAUUGAAUUGAUGGUAUCAUGUAUUGAAAUGAUGGAUGGUUUGUAAUUGAAUUGACGGUAUCGUGUCUUAUAAUGACACUCAUAUGGAAUUGAAUUGACGGCAUCGUGUCUUAAAAUGGUGGCUCGUAUGAAAUUAAAUUUACGGUUUAUGGAAGCUGGUAUGUAAUUGAAUUGACGGCAUAGUGUUGACACAUAUGAAAUUGAAUUGACGGCAUUAUUUUUGUCUGAUAUUUUGAUUUUAAAUUUCAUAUUUGUGUUUGUAUGAUUUGAAUUUAAUCAAUUGAUGCGAUGAUACUGUGCUUCUCUGACAUUGAAAAUGGAAAAUAG
rnacentral:lncRNA from 1 species